ACCAAACAAAGAUGAUGUUAGACCUACGAACUCCUCAGGGUUGCACACAACUCACGCCCGCGAGGGUUGGCAGGGAGCAACGUUACAUCAGCAGGAACUUUUUCAUCGUAACUCGUUAACUACGUUAGUUAUAUUAGAGGCGGAAAAAGGGGGAGGCUUGGCUCUGCUCUCUUUAGUUAGCCUUUGAACGAAAUGACCAGUGGAGAAGAGGGAAGAAGAGAAUCUGAGAUCAAUGCUGGCCUCAUUGAUUGAUUGACGAGAAGGAGAGAUGCUAGUAGUGGUAGUAAAGAACUGG
rnacentral:sRNA from 2 species